rnacentral:tRNA from 1 species
GUGAGAUUAGUGUAAAGGUAAACACAGCAGUUUGUGAAUCUGCUAAUAAGAGUUCGAGUCUCUUAUUUCACC